rnacentral:piRNA from 1 species
UGAGAAUCUGAGUGGAGUUGGGAU